CCUACGGGCGGCUGCAGUGGGGAAUCUUGGUCAAUGGGCGCAAGCCUGAACCAGCGACGCCGCGUGAGUGAUGAAGGCCUUCGGGUUGUAAAGCUCUGUGGGGAGGGACGAAAGAGGCUUGUCGAAUAGGCAAGUCAGUUGACGGUACCUCCUUAGCAAGCACCGGCUAACUCUGUGCCAGCAGCCGCGGUAAGACAGAGGGUGCAAACGUUGCUCGGAAUUACUGGGCGUAAAGCGCGUGUAGGCGGAUUUCCAAGUCAGAUGUGAAAUCCCUG
rnacentral:rRNA from 1 species